AUUGAACGCUGGCGGCAUGCCUAACACAUGCACGUCGAACGAGUGGCGGACGGGUGAGUAAUGUCUGGGAAACUGCCUGAUGGCGGGGGAUAACUACUGGAAACGGUCGCUAAUACCGCAUACCAUCAGAUGUGCCCAGAUGGGAUUAGCUUGUUGGGGGGGUAACGGCUCACCAAGGCGACGAUCCCUAGCUGGUCUGAGAGGAUGACCAGCCACACUGGAACUGAUACACGGUCCAGACUCCUACGGGAGGCAGCAGUGGUGAAUAUUGGACAAUGGGGGAAAGCCUGAUGCAGCCAUGCCGCGUGUAUGAAGAAGGCCUUCGGGUUGUAAAGUACUUUCAGCGGGGAGGCGGUACCUGCAGAAGAAGCACCGGCUAACUCCGUGCCAGCAGCCGCGGUAAUUC
rnacentral:rRNA from 1 species